rnacentral:rRNA from 1 species
UUCCGGUUGAUCCUGCCGGACCCGACUGCUAUCAGAGUGGGACUAAGCCAUGCGAGUCGACGUAGCAAUGCGUGGCGAACGGCUCAGUAACACGUAGUCAACACGCCCAGGGGACGUGGAUAACCUCGGGAAACUGAGAAUAAACCACGAUAGGUCACGAUUUCUGGAAUGGAUCAUGGCCUAAAUCUACAUGGCCCCUGGAUUGGACUGCGGCCGAUCAGGCUGUUGGUGAGGUAAUGGCCCACCAAACCUGUAACCGGUACGGGCUCUGAGAGGAGGAGCCCGGAGACGGGCACUGAGACAAGGGCCCAGGCCCUAUGGGGCGCAGCAGGCGCGAAACCUCUGCAAUAGGCGAAAGCCUGACAGGGUUACUCUGAGUGAUUUCCGUUAAGGAGAUCUUUUGGCACCUCUAAAAAUGGUGCAGAAUAAGGGGUGGGCAAGUCUGGCGUCAGCCGCCGCGGUAAUACCAGCACCCCGAGUGGUCGGGACGUUUAUUGGGCCUAAAGCAUCCGUAGCCGGUUCUGCAAGUCUUCCGUUAAAUCCACCUGCUUAACAGAUGGGCCGCGGAAGAUACUAUAGAGCUAGGAGGCGGGAGAGGCAAGCGGUACUCGAUGGGUAGGGGUAAAAUCCGUUGAUCCAUUGAAGACCACCAGUGGCGAAGGCGGCUUGCCAGAACGCGCUCGACGGUGAGGGAUGAAAGCUGGGGGAGCAAACCGGAUUAGAUACCCGGGUAGUCCCAG